GUCCCCGUCGUCUAGCCUGGCCAAGGACACCAGCCUUUCACGCUGGCGACACGGGUUCAAAUCCCGUCGGGGACG
rnacentral:tRNA from 1 species